rnacentral:rRNA from 1 species
AGAACCUUACCAGCGUUGACAUGGUAGGACGACUGGCAGAGAUGCCUUUCUUCCCUUCGGGGACCUACACACAGGUGCUGCAUGGCUGUCGUCAGCUCGUGUCGUGAGAUGUUGGGUUAAGUCCCGCAACGAGCGCAACCCUCGACUUUAGUUACCAUCAUUAAGUUGGGUACUUUAAAGUAACCGCCGGUGAUAAGCCGGAGGAAGGUGGGGAUGACGUCAAGUCCUCAUGGCCCUUACGCGCUGGGCUACACACGUGCUACAAUGGCAAGUACAGUGGGCAGCAAUCCCGCGAGGGUGAGCUAAUCUCCAAAACUUGUCUCAGUUCGGAUUGUUCUCUGCAACUCGAGAGCAUGAAGGCGGAAUCGCUAGUAAUCGCGGAUCAGCAUGCCGCGGUGAAUACGUUCCCAGGCCUU